GUGUUCGAUGAUGAUUUUUACUUGUUGGCCUGAUCCUUUUGGACAGUGAAGGCAUCGUUAGUCACUACCUCUUCUGAGACAC
rnacentral:snoRNA from 1 species